GACGAACGCUGGCGGCGUGCUUAACACAUGCCAGUCGAACGGUGAAGCGCCUUCCUUUUUGGUGGGUGUGGAUGAGUGGCGAACGGGUGAGUAACACGUGAGUAACCUGCCCCCUUCUUCUGGAUAACCGCAUGAAAGUGUGGCUAAUACGGGAUAUUCUGGGUCUGUCGCAUGAUGGGUCUGGGAAAGAUAUUGUUUCGGUGGGGGAUGGGCUCGCGGCCUAUCAGCUUGUUGGUGGGUGAUGGCCUACCAAGGCGGUGACGGGUAGCCGGCCUGAGAGGGUGGACGGUCACACUGGGACUGAGACACGGCCCAGACUCCUACGGGAGGCAGCAGUGGGGAAUAGUGCACAAUGGGCGAAAGCCUGAUGCAGCGACGCCGCGUGAGGGAUGGAGGCCUUCGGGUUGUGAACCUCUUUCGCCAGUGAAGCAGGCCUGCCUCGUUUGUGGGUGGGUUGACGGUAGCUGGAUAAGAAGCGCCGGCUAACUACGUG
rnacentral:rRNA from 1 species